rnacentral:tRNA from 1 species
UCAGGGGUAGAUUCAGGGCUAGAGCAUGUGCUUGGUGUGCACAAGGUCCUGGGUUCAAUCCCCAGUGCCUGCA